GCUGGCAGAGAGUAGAGAGGCCCGGUACUAGGCUCGCUGGACUGGGGGGGCAAUCAGAAAUUGUGGUAGGGCGGUA